GCAGCGGCGGCGGCAGGAACUGUGACAUUUUACAGGGCGUGUUCUUCACCAAAAAUCAAGGGCAUCGUAUUAAAACACAAUUCAGUAAAGAGUCGGAGCAAAACAGACCUUAAGGGAUGCGGUUGGACCCGAGGAUGAAGGGAGGAGAUCUGGCAUGUACUGCGUGAUACGGCAGCUUGGAGCCACGCAUGAACUGACACGUGCAGACAGAGGGUCUGUUGCAACAAGCACUCUCAAGGAAGCCAGGAAACAGGAUGAGAUACAGCAUCAGUCUCCACCCACUGAGCCACUGAAGGAAACUUGGCUUGUCCACCCCCUGUGUGAACUCUGAAGGCUUCAAGAUGCCCUGCAUCAUUUAUCCGCUGGUGCGAGCCACAUCUGUCCCCCGUUUAUCAUGAAGAAUUUCGAACAUUCAGAAAUGCGGAGUGAAUGGUA